GCAUCAACAGUGGGCUUCUCAAAUGCCAAAUUGUAAAGUAAAUUUGGCAUUUGGGCCCAAUUUACCCCAGCAAUUGGAUUGCUAAACCUGGGACCGGCCAAAUUUUUUUGGCAUACUGCUACAGUGCGAUCUCACAUAUGAGAUCGCACUGUAGCGCUAUGCCAUCCAACAAAAUUUUAUUUUAAUAGUGCACAGUCGCUCAACCUCUCUCUCUCUCUUCCUACACUACCGGUUUUUGCUCUCUCUCGCGCCAUCAAGCUUUUCCCUUUCCCUCGCUUUUCUCUCCGAUCACCAAGCCAUCGCUGUCACCAAGCCUCGCUUUUCUCUCCGAUCAACAAGCCGCUGUUCGAAUCACCAAGCCUCUGCCGAUUCACCCUCACCCAUCUCCAAAUCCGUUUUCACUGUCACCAAGCCUCGCUAUUCUCUCCGAUCACCAAGCCGCUGUCACCAAGCCUCGCUUUUCUCUCCGAUCAAGAAGCCGCUGUCCGAAUCACCAAGCCUCUGCCUCUGCCGAUCCACCCUCACCCAUCUCCAAAUCCGUUUCACUGUCACCGAGCUUCGCUUUUCUCUCCGAUCACCAAGCCGCUGUCACCAAGCCUCGCUUUUCUCUCCGAUCACCAAGCCGCUGUCCGAAUCACCAAGCCUCUGCCUCUGCCUCUGCCUCUGCCUCUGCCGAUUCACCGAAGCUUCGUCGGUCUCUCAAAUAAAAUCAAAAUCAAAAUCAAAGCAAUUUACUAGAGGUGGGAUUCAGCUUCAUCACGAGGGUUUUCGCUUGCUGUCGGAUUAGCAUCUUCAGAAAGUCUGCUCAGGUUCAACUCUAUGAUUUUGUUUGAUUUCUAUAUAUUUUUGCAGAGAAUAUAUAUUAUAUCCGAAGUGGCUGUGUAAAGGGCUUAUAUUUUGUAACAAAAAAUUACUGUUGUAUAUAUAGUCGAAAUAGAUUGAUUAUUGGAUUAUAUUUGGCAAACUUACUGCACAUAAUGCACAUAAUGCACGGAUUUGUACUUUACUUCUUAGCAACAUUUGUUAGCUAUUCGACUAUCUGUGGUGAGAUGACUGGAUUUAGUGUUUUUAUUGGAGUUUGGGAAAUGAUGCCAAAACCAAAAAAUUGUGACUGAGGUGUAAGCUUUGCUUAUAAUAAGAUUGAUUAUAUGGAGUCUAUAUUGUUAUGCUGAAGGGUUUCAUUUUUGCUUAUAAUAAGAUUGAAAAACUUGUAUGCUGAAGGGUUUCAGGAUAAUGGAGUCUAUAUUGUCAGCUUGAGCUUAAAA